UACGUAGGGCGCAAGCGUUGUCCGGAAUUAUUGGGCGUAAAGAGCUCGUAGGCGGUUUGUCGCGUCUGCUGUGAAAACCCGAGGCUCAACCUCGGGCCUGCAGUGGGUACGGGCAAACUAGAGUGCGGUAGGGGAGAUUGGAAUCCUGGUGUAGCGGUGGAAUGCGCAGAUAUCAGGAGGAACACCGAUGGCGAAGGCAGAUCUCUGGGCCGUAACUGACGCUGAGGAGCGAAAGCAUGGGGAGCGAACAGG
rnacentral:rRNA from 1 species